AAGAAAGUAGUGUCUCAGGAUAGAGAUUGCAGUUCUCUAGAGCUGUUGUUGGUCAUCAGAAUGGCAAGAGCUGGCUGAGGAACAACGAUCUGACUUGCUACAGCCUUUAAGGUUUUGAAAUUCCCUGUUGGAAGAGGAUCAAACUUUCCGCUGUCUGUGAAGCAGAGCUGUUGAGACAUCCAUUUUCAUAUUCUCAAGGUCAAGCAUUUCUUGAGAUUUUUCUCUAUAGCAUCAGUUAAGACCUCAGAAACCUACCCUAACUAAAUUCAUUCAUGUGGCACUUACCUUGGAUAUCUUCAGCAACCAGAGAAAGCAGCUCUUUAAAAUGUAUGGAGACAGCCACCAGAUCAUGGCAAUAUGCAAAAAGCGUGGUGUUGUAACAGAAUUAUGAAGUGGCCUCUGGGACGGUGGUGAGUUGGGAAUCAGGCUCUUGAAAACUGAUUUUCCCUUUGUGUCCUCUGCAAAACCAGCUGAUCUCUCCUGCACCAUCCUCACCAAGAUGCAGCAAGCGGUGCUUGAUCUGCUGUGAGGAAAUGGGGCCAGUGUGCCCAGGCGGAUGCAAACUGUGGUCUGCGUUGUGUCAGAGUGGUCCUGGGGCAUUGUAUCCAAAGACAUGUGAAUCUCAGUCUUCCUCGCUGCUAGUGCUCCCAGAUGCACAGUGCAAACCCACAUGUGAAGUGUGGUUAAAAAAUACCAACAACAGAACUGUAAAUAUGAGUGAGCACUGCUUGGUUUGUAGGAGUUAGGGAUUGACUCCCCUGUGUUAAUUGACACCCCCCUGGGUUAAUCACUCAUUUACUGGAAUGAAUGAUCACCAUUCAGUGCAGCAUGUGCUAUGAAAAGAGUAACAAAAAAGACAAAUAUCUAAAACCUAUUGUUAUGCUAAGGUAGAUAAGCAUGCAAAUAAAUCAUCACAGAUUGAAAAGCAGUCUGCUACCAGGAUGUGUUUUUUAGGUGUUCUGUUUUUGUUUUUUGUUUUUUUUUUUAUAGUUCUCACUGAGCUAGGAGAAGGAAUAAAAAUAAAAUCAGAUCUUGAAACCAAAUUUCAGCUUUCAGAAGAUUGUGAUUAGAAUAUUUGUUUAUCCUCCCACCUCCAAUG